rnacentral:rRNA from 1 species
GACGAACGCUGGCGGCGUGCUUAACACAUGCAAGUCGAACGGAAAGGCCCUGCUUUUGUGGGGUGCUCGAGUGGCGAACGGGUGAGUAACACGUGAGUAACCUGCCCUUGACUUUGGGAUAACUUCAGGAAACUGGGGCUAAUACCGGAUAGGAGCUCCUGCUGCAUGGUGGGGGUUGGAAAGUUUCGGCGGUUGGGGAUGGACUCGCGGCUUAUCAGCUUGUUGGUGGGGGAGUGGCUUACCAAGGCUUUGACGGGUAGCCGGCCUGAGAGGGUGACCGGCCACAUUGGGACUGAGAUACGGCCCAGACUCCUACGGGAGGCAGCAGUGGGGAAUAUUGCACAAUGGGCGGAAGCCUGAUGCAGCAGCGCCGCGUGCGGGAUGACGGCCUUCGGGUUGUAAACCGCUUUCGCCUGUGACGAAGCGUGAGUGACGGUAAUGGGUAAAGAAGCACCGGCUAACUACGUG